AGAGUUUGAUCAUGGCUCAGAACGUACGCUGGCGGCACGCCUAACACAUGCAAGUCGAACGAAGUAGCAAUACUUAGUGGCAGACGGGUGAGUAACAUGUGGGUAUCUGCCCUUUGGCCUGGAAUAACACGAGGAAACUUGUGCUAAUACCGGAUAAGUCUUUACGGAGAAAGCUUUAUGCACCAUUGGAUGAGCCCGCACUUGAUUAGUUUGUUGGUGGGGUAAUGGCCUACCAAGACUGUGAUCAAUAGCUGAUUUGAGAGGAUGAUCAGCCACAUUGGGACUGAGACACGGCCCAAACUCCUACGGGAGGCAGCAGUGGGGAAUCUUGCACAAUGGAGGAAACUCUGAUGCAGCGAUGCCGCGUGAGUGAAGAAGGCCUUUGGGUUGUAAAGCUCUUUCGUCGGGGAAGAAAAUGACUGUACCCGAAUAAGAAGGUCCGGCUAACUUCGUGCCAGCAGCCGCGGUAAUACGAAGGGACCUAGCGUAGUUCGGAAUUACUGGGCUUAAAGAGUUCGUAGGUGGUUGAAAAAGUUGGUGGUGAAAUCCCAGAGCUUAACUCUGGAACUGCCAUCAAAACUUUUCAGCUAGAGUAUGAUAGAGGAAAGCAGAAUUUCUAGUGUAGAGGUGAAAUUCGUAGAUAUUAGAAAGAAUACCAAUUGCGAAGGCAGCUUUCUGGAUCAUUACUGACACUGAGGAACGAAAGCAUGGGUAGCGAAGAGGAUUAGAUACCCUCGUAGUCCAUGCCGUAAACGAUGUGUGUUAGACGUUGGAAAUUUAUUUUCAGUGUCGCAGCGAAAGCGAUAAACACACCGCCUGGGGAGUACGACCGCAAGGUUAAAACUCAAAUGAAUUGACGGGGACCCGCACAAGUAGUGGAGCAUGUGGUUUAAUUCGAAGAUACGCGCAGAACCUUACCAACACUUGACAUGUUCGUCGCGACUUUAAGAGAUUAAAGUUUUCGGUUCGGCCGGACGAAACACAGGUGCUGCAUGGCUGUCGUCAGCUCGUGUCGUGAGAUGUUGGGUUAAGUCCCGCAACGAGCGCAACCCUCACUUUUAGUUGCCAUCAUUAAGUUGGGCACUCUGAAAGAACUGCCAGUGAUAAGCUGGAGGAAGGUGGGGAUGACGUCAAGUCCUCAUGGCCCUUACGUGUUGGGCUACACACGUGCUACAAUGGUAUCUACAACAGGAAGCAAGACUGCGAAGUUAAGCAAAUCCUUAAAAGAUACCUCAGUUCGGAUUGCACUCUGCAACUCGAGUGCAUGAAGCUGGAAUUACUAGUAAUCGUGGAUCAGCGUGCCACGGUGAAUGCGUUCCCGGGUCUUGUAGACAC
rnacentral:rRNA from 1 species